UCCGGCACUGCUUGAGAUUGGAAAAUUCUACAAUAAAUACACUAAACCGAGUAGGUUGAAGCGCUAAUGGCGGGCUGCACCUGAAAAAGGCAUCUUUAUAGACGGCAGAUUACAAAGGUUCUUCAAACACUCAAAUCCUGUCUUUCAGGAAUUUUUCUCAACAAAUAGCAGUGCCUUUUUUU
rnacentral:sRNA from 1 species